rnacentral:rRNA from 1 species
CAUUUUUGAGCAAUUAGCUUGCUAAGGGUGGAAAUGUUGGCAGUUUAGUGGCGGACGGGUGAGUAACGCGUGGGUAACCUGCCUUACACAGGGGGAUAACACCUGGAAACAGGUGCUAAUACCGCAUAACAGGAAGAGGCGCAUGCCACUUUCUUGAAAACUCCGGUGGUGUAAGAUGGACCCGCGUCUGAUUAGCUGGUUGGCGGGGUAACGGCCCACCAAGGCGACGAUCAGUAGCCGGCCUGAGAGGGUGGACGGCCACAUUGGGACUGAGACACGGCCCAAACUCCUACGGGAGGCAGCAGUGGGGAAUAUUGGACAAUGGGGGGAACCCUGAUCCAGCGACGCCGCGUGAGUGAAGAAGUAUUUCGGUAUGUAAAGCUCUAUCAGCAGGGAAGAAAGAAAUGACGGUACCUGACUAAGAAGCCCCGGCUAACUACGUGCCAGCAGCCGCGGUAAUACGUAGGGGGCAAGCGUUAUCCGGAUUUACUGGGUGUAAAGGGAGCGUAGACGGUUAAGCAAGUCUGAAGUGAAAGGCGGGGGCUCAACCCCCGGACUGCUUUGGAAACUGUAUGACUGGAGUGCAGGAGAGGUAAGUGGAAUUCCUAGUGUAGCGGUGAAAUGCGUAGAUAUUAGGAGGAACACCAGUGGCGAAGGCGGCUUACUGGACUGUAACUGACGUUGAGGCUCGAAAGCGUGGGGAGCAGACAGGAUUAGAUACCCUGGUAGUCCACGCCGUAAACGAUGAUCACUAGGUGUCGGUGGGUAUGGAUCCAUCGGUGCCGCAGCAAACGCAGUAAGUGAUCCACCUGGGGAGUACGUUCGCAAGAAUGAAACUCAAAGGAAUUGACGGGGACCCGCACAAGCGGUGGAGCAUGUGGUUUAAUU